rnacentral:rRNA from 1 species
CAGGUGGGACUACCCGCUGAACUUAAGCAUAUCAAUAAGCGGAGGAAAAGAAACUAACAAGGAUUCCCCUAGUAACGGCGAGUGAAGAGGGAAAAGCCCAAAUUUGUAAUCUGGCUCUUUUAUAGGAGUCCGAGUUGUAAUUUUGAGAACUGUUUUCUGUGCUGGACCAUAUACAAGUCUGUUGGAAAACAGCAUCAUUGAGGGUGAUAAUCCCGUAGAUGAUAUGGACUACCAGUGCAAUAUGAUACAGUCUCUAAGAGUCGAGUUGUUUGGGAAUGCAGCUCAAAGUGGGUGGUAAAUUCCAUCUAAGGCUAAAUAUAGGUGAGAGACCGAUAGCAAACAAGUACCGUGAGGGAAAGAUGAAAAGAACUUUGGAAAGAGAGUUAAYAGUACGUGAAAUUGUUAAAAGGGAAACAUUUGAAGUUAGACUUGUUAUUAUUGGUUCAGCUCCUCUUUUUUAAUUAGGAGUUUAUUCCAAUGGUUGACAGACCAGCAUCAAUUUUUGAGUGUUAGAUAAGGGUCUUGGAGAAUGUGGCAACUUUGGUUGUGUUAUAGCUCCUGGCUUGAUAUAAUGCUUAAGAUUGAGGAACGCAGUGAGCUUUAUUUUUUGAAGCGGAUUCUUUUGAAUCUUCAUCACUACGGAUGUUGGUGUAAUAGCUUUAAAUGACCCGUCUUGAAACACGGACCAAGGAGUCUAACAUGCUUGCGAGUAUUUGGGUGUUGAAACCCCUGAUGCAUAAUGAAAGUGAAUGUAAAUGGGAUCCGUAAAAGGUGCACCAUUGACCAGUCCUGAUUAUUUAUAUGAAGGUACUGAGUAAGAGCAAGUAUGUUGGGACCCGAAAGAUGGUGAACUAUGCCUGAAUAGGGUGAAGCCAGAGGAAACUCUGGUGGAAGCUCGUAGCGGUUCUGACGUGCAAAUCGAUCGUCAAAUUUGGGUAUAGGGGCGAAAGACUAAUCGAACCAUCUAGUAGCUGGUUCCUGCCGAA